AAACUCAAAUGAAUUGACGGGGAGCACCACAACAGGUGGAGCCUGCGGUUUAAUCGGACUCAACGCCGGGAAACUCACCAGAUAAGACAGCUGAAUGAUAGUCGGGCUGAAGACUCUACUUUGACUAGCUGAGAGGAGGUGCAUGGCCGUCGUCAGUUCGUACUGUGAAGCAUUCUGUUAAGUCAGGCAACGAGCGAGACCCACGCCAACAGUUGCCAGCUCGUCCUCCGGGAUGGUGGGGACACUGUUGGGACCGCCUCUGCUAAAGAGGAGGAAGGAAUGGGCAACGGUAGGUCAGUAUGCCCCGAAUAUCCCGGGCUACACGCGAGCUACAAUGGUUGGUACAAUGGGUAUCUACCCCGAAAGGGGACGGGAAUCUCCUAAAACCAAUCUUAGUUCGGAUUGAGGGCUGCAACUCGCCCUCAUGAAGCUGGAAUCCGUAGUAAUCGCGUUUCAACAGAACGCGGUGAAUACGUCCCUGCUCCUU
rnacentral:rRNA from 1 species